rnacentral:misc_RNA from 1 species
GAUGAAGAACGCAGCGAAAUGCGAUAAGUAAUGUGAAUUGCAGAAUUCAGUGAAUCAUCGAAUCUUUGGACGCACAUUGCGCCCGCCAGCACUCUGGCGGGCAUGCCUGUCCGAGCGUCAUUUACCACCCUCGGGCCCCCUUGGGGGCCCGGUGCUGGGGGCACGGCCCAGGCCGCCCCCGAAAUGCAGUGGCGACCCCGCCGCGUCCUCCCCUGCGCAGUAGCACAAUCUCGCACCGGAAGCGCGGAGGCGGUCACGCCUGGAAACGCCCCAACUCAACGCAGUUGACCUCGGAUCAGGUAGGAGUACCCGCUGAACUUAAGCAUAUCAAUAAGCGGAGGA